rnacentral:rRNA from 1 species
CAGCACCUCAAGUGGUCAGGAUGAUUAUUGGGCCUAAAGCAUCCGUAGCCGGCGCUGUAAGUUUUCGGUUAAAUCUGUACGCUCAACGUACAGGCUGCCGGGAAUACUGCAGCGCUAGGGAGUGGGAGAGGUAGACGGUACUCGGUAGGAAGGGGUAAAAUCCUUUGAUCUAUUGAUGACCACCUGUGGCGCAGGCGGUCUACCAGAACACGUCCGACGGUGAGGGAUGAAAGCUGGGGGAGCAAACCGGAUUAGAUACCCGAGUAGUCC